rnacentral:lncRNA from 1 species
CUCUGGACUAGUGACUGCUCUGUGCUUGCCAUCCCUUCCUUUUGGAAUAGGAGUGUCUAUUUUAUUUAUUCUAACCCUUGAUCUCUUUAGUCCUGAGGUCUUCAGAAACUUGAGCAGAUGAAUUUACACCUGGACCUGACUGAGAUGAUGUGAUCCUGAACGUCCAGCCUGAGUCUGAUGCUGUAAUAGUUGAGCCUUUGGGAGAUCUUGAUAAGGGAGAGAGUAUGUUGCAUGUGGGAGGUAUGCAAAUAAGACUGUAGCAAUUUUAAAACAUGUCUGUAAUUCCUCUGACAUUCCUCCCAUUGAUGGGUGGAGUGUGUAUCCCCUCCCCUUGAGUUUGGGCCAGCAUUAAUGUCUCACUUUUAACCAGAAGAAUACAGGAGACAUGACACAGCAUAACUUUCAAGAUCAGAUUAGAAAAAGCUACGAAGCUUACACCUGGUGUUCUUGGGAUUUUACCUCUGGGAGAAACAAAAACCCUGUAAAGAAAUCUGAUUAUCCUGAGGCUGCUAUGCUGGAGAGGCUGCUAUGCUGGAGAGGCUGCGUGUAGGUGCUCUGGCUGACAGCCCAGCUAAGCUUUCAGCUGAAACCAACUGCCUGUCAUGUGAGUGAUCCAUCUCGGAUGACAAGCCUAGUCAUGCCAUUGGAGGACUACAGCCCCAACAGAGAUCUGAAUGCAGUCCACGACAGACUCCAAGAUAAGCUGUGAUAUGAAAAAUUGAAGCCAAAAAAAGAAUCCUCUGAGAGAUUGAAGAGUGCGCUAUAAACAUGAUUUUGCUUCUCAGGAAUGGGAAUUCCAUGAAAGCAAGGACUUUGUUUCAUUCCCUGCAGUGUCCCAGCAUUUUAACAGCACCUGGCACACAGUAGGUGCUCUGCUCAUAUCUGCGGAGUCAAUGAGUGUGCUACCUGGGUCCCUGCCCAACAAUGUCUAGUCUCUACAGUUGCAGUAAUCUGUCAUGCAACUUCAAGCCGUGCAUCUGCCACUGAACCAACCCUAGGCCCUUGAUGCUCAAAGCCUGGUCCCUGGGCCAGUAUCUGGAAGCUUGCUCAGCAAUGCAGAAUCUCAGGCCCCACCCCAGACUCACUGAAUCAGAAUCUGCAUUUUAACAAGAUCUCCAGCUGAUUUGUGCCUACAUUAAAGUUUGCAAAUUGACUGUCUAAGCCAAUCUCAAGAUGUGGUCUCUGGCCUAGCAGCAUCAAUAUCACCUGGGAACCUGUUAGAACACCUAUGAAAUCAGAGACUCUGGGACCAGGGCCCAGCUCUAUGUACUUGUAAGCUUUAGGAGAUUCUGAUGCAUGCUGCUGUUUGCAAACCACAUUCCCAAGCUCAGCUUCACCAACUUUGCUCCUAAUUCCACCUGGACCUUAAAUCUCAGUUGCAGUAACUGGGCUAUUUUCUUACAUCCUAUAACCAAAACUUUGCUUAAACUCUUUUAAUUAUGGGGAAUAACUUCCUCCUAAUAAGCUUUGCAUUUCAAAUCUGGAUAGUUUUGAAAGUUCUUCUUUGCCAUUUGUAUGGAGUUUGAUAUACUCCAUUCCAUUCCAAACAAAAUGAAUAAUCUCAUCCCUCUGACCCAACCCUUAGAGUCUAGAUAGAAAAUUCCAAAAAUGAGUUUCAGAAAAUAUGAAUAGAUGAUGUGGAGACUAUUCAUAGCCAUGGGUACAGCUAUUCCCUGCAUGAAGGUGCUCAGCAGACGGCCAUGUACGAAAGCUGAAAUCCAGCCUAUACUUUAUUCCCUAAGCAAUUCACCUACAGGGCUACAUCCGCCCAGUGUGUGCCUUUUUCUAAUUGACCCAAAGUUAUUGGACAAGCUAGCUGUGGUCCUGAGUCUUAUGCCUGUGGCUUGGGGACCAUGAUUUAAAUGGCUGUAUACAGUAUAGUACCACUGUCCAAGAGUGAUGUAGUGCACACCAUUCUAACAGCAUUUUCUAUGCUAUGCCCAUCCACCUUGAUUACAGUGAUCGAUUAUUCUCCUCUACUCCUUCUAACAGUCAUAGACUGUUUGCUCUUCUUCUAAUUCCCACUCUUUCCUCCAGGUUCACUGUUAGUCUCUCACUUGUCAACUAUUUGAUCUCUCUUCUAAGGCUUUAUUCGUGUAUCUUGCUUCAUUUGUCAGAGCUCCUACACAUGGUUCUGCAAAUUUUUACAAAACUC